GCGCCCAUAGCUCAGCUGGAUAGAGCGUCGGACUACGAAUCCGAAGGUCGAAGGUUCGAAUCCUUCUGGGCGUGCCA
rnacentral:tRNA from 1 species